rnacentral:rRNA from 1 species
CCUACGGGAGGCAGCAGUGAGGAAUAUUGGUCAAUGGCCGGGAGGCUGAACCAGCCAAGUCGCGUGAGGGAAGACGGCCCUACGGGUUGUAAACCUCUUUUGUCAGGGAGCAAGGUGCAGGUCGGGACCUGCUGUGAGAGUACCUGAAGAAAAAGCAUCGGCAAACUCCGUGCUAGCAGCCGCGGUAAUACGGAGGAUGCGAGCGUUAUACGGUUUUAUUGGGUGUAAAGGGUGCGCAGGCGGAGGCACAAGUCAGCGGUAAAAUCGCGGGGCUCAACCCCGCUCCGCCGUUGAAACUGUGGCCCUUGAGUGCGCGAAGGGUAGGCGGAAUGCGUGGUGUAGCGGUGAAAUGCAUAGAUAUCACGCAGAACUCCGAUCGCGAAGGCAGCCUACCGGCGCGCAACUGACGCUCAUGCACGAAAGCGUGGGUAUCGAACAGGAUUAGAUACCCGGGUAGUC